CCGAAAGUCAGGUCAGACCCUUCGACUGGGAAAUGAUGGACAAUAAAGUUGUACCUCAGACAAAAUCGAGCGGCGAUUGUGGAAUGUACGUCAUAGAGCAUAUUGAGCAUAAGUUAUUGGAUCUACCAUUCGAUGGAGUACAUGAUCAGCAUAUGUCGCUCUUUCGGCAGAGAUGGGCAGUAGAUUUAUUCUACCAGAACUUGGCAUGAACUUUAGAUGUUUAAUUUUUUAUAUUUGUUGAACAAUGUUUACUUUUACACUUUUCAAUUUGAACAAACUACUUUCACUAAAAUUAUUUUAUUUUAUCAGUAGAACUUGUUUUUGGCUCA